GCCGGCAGCCAUAUCACCAUGUAGCCCAAGACUGGUUGCCCACUGAAGCUAAGCAGGGCUGAGCCUGGUCAGUACCUGGAUGGGAGACCUCCUGGGAAAACUAGGUUGCUGCUGGAA
ensembl:rRNA 5S_rRNA 5S ribosomal RNA